UACGUAGGGUGCAAGCGUUGUCCGGAAUCAUUGGGCGUAGAGAGCUCGUAGGCGGCUCAGUAAGUCGGGUGUGAAACCCUCAGGCUCAACCUGGGGACGCCACCCGAUACUGCUGUGGCUAGAGUCCAGUAGGGGAGUGUGGAAUUCCCGGUGUAGCGGUGAAAUGCGCAGAUAUCAGGAGGAACACCAGCGGCGAAGGCGGCGCUCUGGGCCGGAACUGACGCUGAGGAGCGAAAGCGUGGGGAGCGAACAGG
rnacentral:rRNA from 1 species